rnacentral:rRNA from 1 species
AGUGAACGCUGGCGGUAGGCCUAACACAUGCAAGUCGAACGGCAGCACAGUAAGAGCUUGCUCUUACGGGUGGCGAGUGGCGGACGGGUGAGGAAUACAUCGGAAUCUACUUUUUCGUGGGGGAUAACGUAGGGAAACUUACGCUAAUACCGCAUACGACCUACGGGUGAAAGCAGGGGAUCUUCGGACCUUGCGCGAUUGAAUGAGCCGAUGUCGGAUUAGCUAGUUGGCGGGGUAAAGGCCCACCAAGGCGACGACCCGUAGCUGGUCUGAGAGGAUGAUCAGCCACACUGGAACUGAGACACGGUCCAGACUCCUACGGGAGGCAGCAGUGGGGAAUAUUGGACAAUGGGCGCAAGCCUGAUCCAGCCAUACCGCGUGGGUGAAGAAGGCCUUCGGGUUGUAAAGCCCUUUUGUUGGGAAAGAAAAGCAGCAGGUUAAUACCCCGCUGUUCUGACGGUACCCAAAGAAUAAGCACCGGCUAACUUCG